rnacentral:lncRNA from 1 species
AAGUUUUCUAUUGAAUAUACCUUUACCUUAGACGUCUGAUACAACUAGUAAAAUUACCGAACAUAUAUUAUGACAAAGUUAGGAAAACAAACAGAUUCAUUGCAUCACCUUCCUUCUCUCGUCCGCUUCGAGUCUUGUCUCCUAUUUAAUUACUCAAACUAUAUAAUAAGAAAAUUUAAAACCAAAUAUCUGUCCUGGCUAAUUAGCCUAUAUGUUGUGUAUAGUCUAUAAGA